UUUCCGUAGGUGAACCUGCGGAAGGAUCAUUAUUGUAUAACCGAGGUGCGAGGGCUGUCGCUGACCCGAAAGUUCGUGCACGCACGCGUGCCCUCACACACAUCCAUCUCACCCCUACGUGCACCACCGCGUGGGUCCCCCUUUGGCUUGUUCGGAGGGGGGCUGACGUUUUCACACAAACUUUGUAUGUAGUGUAGAAUGUAUUUUUUGUUUUUGCGAUCACGCAUAAAUACAACUUUCAACAACGGAUCUCUUGGCUCUC
rnacentral:misc_RNA from 1 species